rnacentral:antisense_RNA from 1 species
UUUCAUGGCGGUUGUGCGUGGGGCAUCUUCGGAUGCACCGGUUUCUGGUUUGCCGGUCUGUCAACCCGCGUACGGCUGCCACCCAU